UGGACAGCGUUUAUAUAGUGAUAUUAUUAAGCCAGUGAGUAUCAAUAAGCACUUGAAAUUAGAUUAAUGUGGUGUAAGAGAGCGCUGAUAUUCCAACUCUGAGAUGCAUUUGUAGAGAUUUUGCCGUCUUUGAGGCGCUAGCUUAAAGUUUCUGUGCCAAUGUUAGCGGAUAUCGUAGGAAAGCGUUCACUAUUUAAACAAUGUUAUGACAGAAACAUGAGCUUCUGGACUUACUAGUUAAGUAAAAUGAUUAUUUUCAGCCACAGAUUCCAAAUAAAUAUCCCGAUGAGCUUCAGUGCAUCCAUAUUCAAUGUCUGAUUCAUUGUCCUCAGCUUUAAACAGAGAUCAUCUCUGUGUGUCUAUGCUGAACUGGACUUUUCUUUGUUGUGUCUCCGUCUUAACACAAGUAUUUUUAUGGUUAGGUGAAUUUGUUAGUUCUACAUGCCAAUAUUUUUUUUAUUCAGGUGUGGGAACAGUGGUUCAGAGGAUGCUCUUCAGGAAUGUUAAAUGAAGGUGGUGAAAUCCCUGUGCAAAGAUAUCAGAUUACUGGACUGAUCACAUCAGCCUCCUGUGAGGUCUGUCUAAAGAAGACUAACAAAAAUUCAGUGCAGCGUCCUGAGAAGAUGGAUGUGAGGACAGAAGCACACAAACAUGUAGUUGUAGUGAGCUGCCAGUAAUUUUAAAUGGAUUUGUUCCUCUAACUCAUGUCUGUCUCUUUAUCAGCCCUGUGACACAUUGGUGACCUGUCCAGGGUGAACCUGCCUGUGCCUGCUGGGAUAGGCUCCAGCCCUCCACCCACACCCUGACAAUCAAAUGUGGACAGACUAACUUCUUUCUUAGAUUCAUUUUAUCAUCUAGUGUGUUCUUGCAUCAUUUUAACUUCUAGAGUGUUCUUGGAUUUGUGGCAUUAAUAUUAGAGCUAGCCAUCUUACUUACAGAAUUCCUUCCAUGAGCCAUAGCCCCUGAGAUUAUUCCUAUAUUUAUUAUAUUAUCUAUAUUAUUUGAAGAAUGCCAGUCACUGUCAGUUUUUUUCUUUUACACUGAAAAUUAUAUUGAGAAGUUAAAGAAUCCAUUCAUCCUCUUUCUUAACUGCUUGCCCAGUUAGUGGAGCUCUGCAGUGUAUUCCCGACACAGGGAACUAGGGGGAGGCACAACCUGGACAGGCUGCCAGUCUGUUGCGAUGUGUUAAGCAAUGUAUUCAUAUUUAAUUGAAAAAUUAAUCAAUGAUUUUCAAUACAUUUAUGAUGCGUUUUUGAUUACUGAUUCCAAGAUGGCGUUGUGGUGUUUAUAGAAAUCCUGUUUGGGGUUUUAAAUGUUAUUUCUGUUUCCUGUUUGAGCAGCUCUGCAGUCAAUGUCCAGGUGGGUCAGUGGGAGCAGAAGCCCUCUGCUAAUGUACAGGCUCUGAUCAGCAACAUCCAGCAAGACCCACACAGCCUCUACCUGCUGGAGCUUUUUGUUUGCCUGUGACUGGAGAGUCAGAUUUCUAUUCGGGGGUUGCAGCUCCCUGUGCUGGAGAAACCACUUCACACCUGCAGAGGUGAUAUGAUUGUGAGGAAGCAAAGCUCAGGAAGAAGGAAUCCCUGCAGUCCUGUUCUUUCAGCUCCAAGCCUGCUCAGAGAAAGCAGCAGACAGUUUGAGGGGUUUGGGCUCACAGAUGGUGACAGCAUGGAGAGACUGUGGUCCUUCCCCUGAAGAACUGCAGGAGUCACAGAGGAGAUGACUCCAUCUCACUGUCUGGACUUGCUGACUGAUGUUCUUCUGCACUGCAGAAGGAGAGUUCUUAUUAACAUGGAGGAAAAAGAUGGAAGAAUCUGAGCUGAACUUCCUGUUUCCUGCUACAGAUGCUGACUGUGACCUCAGAGGACAGCUGGUCUGCAGAGUUACAAGUGAAUCAAGGCAGAGGUCAGUCUGCCUGCAGCUUCAAAGAAAGCAUCCAGACUCAGAUGGGCAGGAUCUCAGCAUCAGACUGUCCAAACAGGCUCCAGCUUCAACAGCAGACUGAGACAGAAACAAGAGAAAACAGCAGCUUCAGUGGGCUCCACAGGUCAAAGGUGACAUUUCAAGGGGUCUUCAAAGAAGAAGGGACUGAUGUCAUGCAUCAAUCACAGCGAUUAUGAAGAUGACAACGAGAGCAGCUACAACUGUAAAAGUCUGACCACGACUGUUUUGCUGCUUCCUGAUUAUUAAUGAAUGUUUGUGUCUUUUGUCAUUAAUUCUUUUGCCGUCAUUUGUUACAAAAAAAAUUCACCAAACUCAGUUUGUGUUAUUUAAUUUUUACAGGCUACACUCACUGCACACAAGAAAACAUUCAUUUUAACCACUGAUGACUCAGUGACUUUAUAAAAGCUUUUAGUAGUCCAGCCUUUGACUAUUAACACUUACCAUAUUGUACCUGUACAGCAUGGUUUUGUACAUGUAUGAAAUUUCUUUAAUGUUGAAGUCAUUUCCUGAUUUAGUUUGUAAUCUUUGUUGGUUUUCUCUACUUUGGAACUGAUUGUGAGUCAGUGUGUAACCUCACCUGCUUCCCUUUGUUCCACAUGACUUUAAGUUUUUUGAUUUCUGUUUAUUUAAAUUUCCAUUUCAUUUUGAUCUGUGUUGUGUGACCCUUGCAGACUGGUUUGUGGACUGCUUGCCUCGCUGUGUGUAACCACUGCCUGUUUUUGACUAAAGAUUUGGAUUUUUGACUUUU